AUGUCCACCAAAGUUUCACUGGCAAGAAGAGAAGGGGAACACGUUAACCACAGCAUAGGAAAUCCCGAGGAAGUGUACAGACACUGCGAAGCAGGUGAUGAAAGGAGACCGACUCCUGAGCGUUACACGCCGACUUUUUGGUGGAGCAAAGCAGGGGCCUGUAGAAUAUGUGGAGAGUGGAGUGGGGCGCCACAGAGGAACGUGAGAUGUUACAACGCACGUGAGACACAGCACCAUCCAGGUCAGGUGACUCUCCCUGUUCCAGUUUACACAGACCUUGCUGAGCUAAUCAUUGGAUCAGUGUGGUACUUUCUUUUCAGCAAGCACCUACAACAGACCCUGCAAAGAACCUUUUUGCAGUUUUGACUAUUCAGAAAUAGUCUUCUCCAAAGAUUGACAAUGAUUAGGAAGUGGCUGAGGCACAAGUUGGAAUCAUGGCACUGUAUCACUGGCACGCAGAGGCAGUCACUCUGCUGAUCCGUGACCCUGUCCAACAUCUGGCGUAUCAGCGUAACCUCCUGGCCAGUAAGCAGUCACCUUUAGCCAGUAUUCAGAAGGAGAGAAAUGAGAAACAACUGCCAUUAUGCAACUGGCCACUUUCUGGCCUUCAGUCCCACGGCUCAAGCUGUCGGGAAAAUGACCUUCCCCAGUGUUUCGCUCAUGUGACACAGGUAGUAUAUGCUUCAUUCAGCACUCUUGUGGAGAGGGUGCCCAACAGCGUUCAAAAGGGUCUUCUCCCCUGCUCUCCGGACUGCUUCUAUGUCACAAAGUAAGCAUUUGAGGGCACAUCAAGCAGAUGACUGGGAAAUGUUACAGAGAUGAGAUAAACAGGUACAUUUUAAAAUAAUUCAGUGAUCUGUAUUUUUUUUUUUUUUUAACAAAUAAGGACACCGGAAGUAUUUUGUUUUGUUUUGUUUUAAGACAGUAUCUUGCUGUGAGGCUCAGGCUGGCUUUUAACUCACUACAUAGUGUAGUCUGGCCUCAAACUCACAGCAGUUCUCCUGUCUCGGCCUCUCGAGUGCUGUCGCCUGGCUUACCAGAAGCUUUUGAAGAAAUCCUUACUCUACUUUUUUCCUUCUUCUUUUACACAGGCAUAAAUGAGCACUGAAUAUUUUAAGAAUGUGAAAUAUAGCAAAUAAUAUUUUCUUAGACUCUAUAAUAUGUUGGGAGUUGUAAGGAAUUAGGAUUAGAUGUGGCUCUAACUUUCAAGGAACCCAUGAUGAAGACGCCUGAUGAGCCAGCGUGCUGCUUAGCCUACCUAAAACAGUGGCAGAAACAGGGUACAACACUGACUUAAAACACAAGUGGUCUAGAUGGUAUCCUUCUAGAGAAAUAAUUUCAUAACAAUACAGAGCAGUCUCUGGACACUUGAGGACAGUGAAAAAGGUUUACUCUUUUUAUUCUUCCUAAAGUGUCAGCAGAUUUCAAUGAUUAAGCAACUGUAUAAAAAUAAAGAGUCCUCUGUAUGAGUGUGUCUUAAAUCCAGUGAGUACUUCUUUAUCUGCCAGAUGAAGGUCUGAGGAAAGUAUCUGGGGGAGAAGAAAAAAGAAAGAAGCCCCUAAAAUGACAGCGAACAAACCAGAAAGCGUAAGAUAACAAUAAGCUCAUAAAGAAGGACAAGAGUGUAGAAACUCCUCUCCCUGCCUUCCUGUUUUUCCAUAUUCUUGGCACCAGUGAGGGAGGUCAGGGCAUCGCCUUGACUGACAUGUAGGAAAAAGACAAAAGCAUUUCAAUUACUGUUCAGCAGGGAGAACUAAU
rnacentral:lncRNA from 1 species